UAGCAUAAGGAAAAUAGAAGUUCUCGGUGAUGCUGGCAGAGUGAAUAGAUUACAUCCAUGUUAUUAUGAGAGUCUGGUGACUUGUGGCACUUCUUCAACCCUAAUCCAGGCUACAUACACCUCUGCUUUAUGCUUCACCUCCUGCUUGCAUGGAACUCACAGACUAGCCAGAGGUGCAAGCUGAUGCUCUUCUCAGGAUCUGAACAUUGAAUCUGACCCUUCUGAGAGGACACUACACCACUAGAGGGAAUCAAACAGAAGAUACAAAAUUUCUGCUCUCA
rnacentral:lncRNA from 10 species